rnacentral:tRNA from 1 species
GUCCCAUUCGUCUAGUGGUCUAGGACAUCGCUCUUUCACGGCGGUAACAGGAGUUCGAAACUCCUAUGGGGCA